UGGGGAAUUUUGCACAAUGGACGAAAGUCUGAUGCAGCGACGCCGCGUGAGGGAUGGAGGCCUUCGGGUUGUGAACCUCUUUCGCUCAUGGUCAAGCCAUGCUUGUGGGUGUGGUGAGGGUAGUGAGUAAAGAAGCGCCGGCUAACUACGUGCCAGCAGCCGCGGUAAUACGUAGGGCGCGAGCGUUGUCCGGAAUUAUUGGGCGUAAAGGGCUUGUAGGCGGUUGGUUGCGUCUGCCGUGAAAUCCUCUGGCUUAACUGGGGGCGUGCGGUGGGUACGGGCUGGCUUGAGUGCGGUAGGGGAGACUGGAAUUCCUGGUGUAGCGGUGGAAUGCGCAGAUAUCAGGAGGAACACCGGUGGCGAAGGCGGGUCUCUGGGCCGUUACUGACGCUGAGGAGCGAAAGCGUGGGGAGCGAACAG
rnacentral:rRNA from 1 species